UGCGUACCGUGAAUCCUUUCUACUUUUUAUCGAUUGAAGUUUGAGAAGUUUUGAGAAGUCUUUCUAAAGAGAAUGGCUACCCCAGUCGUCAGGGCAGAUGCACAAGAUGAUUUAGUUAUGGAAUUUGAGUGUGAGGAGGAUGGCAGUUGCGGGGAAAGCGGUGAAAAUGACAGUGUCAGUGGUAGUAGUGACAGUCCGGACAGUACUGGCAGCAGCAGUGAUACCGACAGCGAUGCAAGUGAUGCAGACGCCGGAGAACACGGGCGUAUCGUCGAGUGGGAGUAUGAGCCUUUAGGCUUUACCUCGUGGUGAACCUGGGCAAAAUGUUGGCGAUGCUGGAAGGGCCAACAACGCAAAUCGGCUUCAUGAAAAUGUCGAGGAUUGGUGUACAUGUGGAAGAUGUCGUGUGCCUCCAUCUUUCAAUGAAGGUGAUUGUGUCUGUUGUCAGGAAAUUGCAGAGGUCAAGGCAGAGGCUGAUCGACAGGGUUCAAGUUGUCUGGUGGAUUCUGAGGAGUUUGAGCCGGCCAUCCUAAAUGCGACAACAUUGUACAUCGGAUGGAUGGAGUACACAGAUAGGUGGCGCCGAGCAGCCAAAGCAUUUGGGGACAGGAACA